rnacentral:rRNA from 1 species
UACGUAGGUGGCAAGCGUUGUCCGGAUUUACUGGGCGUAAAGAGCGCGCAGGCGGUCGUUCAAGUCGAGUGUGAAAGCCCCCCGGCUCAACUGGGGAGGGUCACUCGAUACUGAUCGACUUGAAGGCAGGAGAGGGAAGCGGAAUUCCCGGUGUAGUGGUGAAAUGCGUAGAUAUCGGGGAGGAACACCAGUGGCGAAGGCGGCGCUCUGGACCGAGACUGACGCUGAGGCGCGAAAGACGUGGGGGAGCAAAACAGG